rnacentral:lncRNA from 1 species
GAUGUGAAAGAUAUAUUUGGACAGUUUUUGGAAGAGGUAGAGAAACGAACUGGGUACAUAUACUCUUUUAUUUGAUUUGAACUAGCAAGAGACUAGACUGAUUGUUUUUCACCUUCAAAAUCUUAGUCUUGAUGAAACUGACAAUAAAGGCACAAAUAAAGUGAAAUUAAAAUAAUUUUAACAAAGAAGAAAAUCUGGCAAUGUCUAAAGAACAGAUGAAGUAAGCAAAAACGUUAAAUAUGAUUUAAGGUUUAAAAAAAAAAACCUUAGAUAUUAACAACUUGCAAGUACACACUCAGAAUACAGAAUAAGAAUACAGAACAAGAAUAUUUAGGUUUCAAGAAAAAUUAGGCAGGUCUUCUUCUGACAAAGUGACAGGUCCUGAGGGAGAAAGUAACCCCCACAAGACUAAGAGUCAGUACCAAAUCCCAGUCAUCUUACCACUCAACGUCACACUGGCUGGGUAAAGAAAAGGCAUCAGUAAGUGUUCACUGAAUGAAGGUAUAUCAUAACGCACAAUUACAACUAGUUAGUAUGGUGUAGUUCAAACCCAGUCAGGAAAGUCAACCUUUUAUUAAGCAGUGAA